UCCGGUUGAUCCCGCCGGACCCCACUGCUAUCGGGAUGGGACUAAGACAUGCUAGUCGUGCGCCUCCAAGCCAUGGUGGAGGCGCGGCGUACAGCUCAUUAACACGUGGCUAACCUGCCCUUAGGACAGGGACAACUCCGGGAAACUGGAGCUAAUCCCUGAUAGGUGAGGAUUCCUGGAAUGGAUCCUCGCUGAAAAGGCGUCUAAACCAUGCUUUUAGACGUCGCCUAAGGAUGGGGCCGCGGCCGAUCAGGUUGUUGGUGAGGUAACGGCUCACCAAGCCUAUAACCGGUACGGGCCGUGGGAGCGGUAGCCCGGAGAUGGACACUGAGACAAGGGUCCAGGCCCUACGGGGCGCAGCAGUCGCGAAACCUCCGCAAUACACGAAAGUGUGACGGGGCCAUCCCGAGUGCCAUCCGCUGAGGAUGGCUUUUCCCCAGUGUAUACAGCUGGGGGAAUAAGGAGAGGGCAAGUCUGGUGUCAGCCGCCGCGGUAAUACCAGCUCUCCGAGUGGUGGGGAUGUUUAUUGGGCCUAAAGCAUCCGUAGCCGGCUGGACAAGUUCCCUGUCAAAUCCAGCGAUCUAAUCGUUGGACUGCGGGGGAUACUGUCCGGCUAGGGGGCGGGAGAGGCUGACGGUAUUCUCGGGGUAGGGGUGAAAUCCUAUAAUCCCGGGAAGACCACCAGUGGCGAAGGCUGUCGGCUAGAACGCGCCCGACGGUGAGGGAUGAAAGCUGGGGGAGCGAACCGGAUUAGAUACCCGGGUAGUCCCAGCUGUAAACGAUGCAGCUAUGUGUUAGGGCGGCUACGUGCCGCUCUAGUGCCGCAGGGAAGCUGUUAAGCCUGCCGCCUGGGGAGUAC
rnacentral:rRNA from 1 species